CCUACGGGAGGCAGCAGUGGGGAAUAUUGGGCAAUGGGGGAAACCCUGAUGCAGCGACGCCGCGUGAGUGAAGAAGCGCCUCGGCGCGUAAAGCUCUGUCAGCAGGAACGACGAUGACGGUACCUGAAGAAUACUCCACGGCUAACUACGUGCCAGCAGCCGCGGUAAUACGUAGGGGGAAAGCGUUAUCCGGAUUUACUGGGUGUAAAGGGAGCGUAGACGGCGGGGCAAGUCUGGAGUGAAAGGCCGGGGCCCAACCCCGGGACCGCUUUGGAUACUGGCCGGCUGGCGUGCGGGAGAGGUAAGCGGAAUUCCUAGUGUAGCGGUGAAAUGCGUAGAUAUUAGGAGGAACACCAGCGGCGAAGGCGGCUUACUGGACCGUGACUGACGUUGAGGCUCGAAAGCGUGGGGAGCAAACAGGAUUAGAUACCCGAGUAGUC
rnacentral:rRNA from 1 species